GAAAACGGCCUUGAUUCAUAAGGCCGCUCCCAACUUCAAGAUCCUGUCCAACAUUGUCUUCUGAAGGUUGGAGUAUAAAGAGGUGACACAGUCCAAAAGACUAAGGAUAUAAGGUCCCUGUCCUUGGGAAAGGCAGCCUUAGAGAGCAGGCAACUUUCUUUGAGAAGAGGAGGGCGAUCCAGCAACAACAACUGAGCAUUCAAGUCUUAGAAGAAUCCUGGAAAGAUUUAUAAAAUACUGGAUAUUGGUACAUCUAGAAAACAGAACGAGCCUGUUGCAGCUGAAAUCCCAGAAGACCUCACAAGUGUGUUAAAUUUUCACAGCUGACCAC
rnacentral:lncRNA from 1 species